UACGAAGGGUGCAAGCGUCAAUCGGAAUUACUGGGCGUAAAGGGUGCGUAGGCGGUUGUUUAAGUCUGUCGUGAAAUCCCCGGGCUCAACCUGGGAAUGGCGAUGGAAACUGGGCAGCUAGAGUGUGUCAGAGGAUGGUGGAAUUCCCGGUGUAGCGGUGAAAUGCGUAGAGAUCGGGAGGAACAUCAGUGGCGAAGGCGGCCAUCUGGGACAACACUGACGCUGAAGCACGAAAGCGUGGGGAGCAAACAGG
rnacentral:rRNA from 1 species